rnacentral:rRNA from 1 species
AAUGAACGUUGGCGGCGUGGAUUAGGCAUGCAAGUCGUGCGGAAAGGCCCCGCAAGGGGUACUCGAGCGGCGGAAGGGAUAGUAAUGCGUGGAUACCUGCCCUCAGGCCUGGGAUAGCUGCUGGAAACGGCAAUUAAUACCAGAUAAUGUCUCCGGACCAAAGGUGUGAUUCCGUCUGAGGAGGGGUCCGCGUCCUAUUAGCUAGUUGGUGAGGUAAUGGCUCACCAAGGCAACGAUGGGUAGCGGGUGUGAGAGCACGACCCGCAUCACUGGGACUGAGAACUGCCCAGACACCUACGGGUGGCUGCAGUCGAGAAUCUUCGGCAAUGGGCAAAGCCUGACCGAGCGACGCCGCGUGCGGGAUGAAGGCCCUCGGGUUGUAAACCGCUGUCAGUGGGGAGAAGGCUCUGUGAAGAGCAGGGUUUGACCUAUCCGCAGAGGAAGUCCGGGCUAAGUUCGUG